rnacentral:tRNA from 1 species
GGGCCUAUAUUUCAACGGUAGAAUACUUCAUUCGCAUUGAAGUGAUCCGAGUUCGAUUCUCGGUAGGUCCA